AUUGAACGCUGGCGGCAUGCCUUACACAUGCAAGUCGAACGGUAACGGGCCUUCGGGUGCCGACGAGUGGCGAACGGGUGAGUAAUGUAUCGGAACGUACCUUUCAGUGGGGGAUAACGUAGCGAAAGUUACGCUAAUACCGCAUAUUCUGUGAGCAGGAAAACAGGGGAUCGCAAGACCUUGCGCUGAUUGAGCGGCCGAUAUCAGAUUAGCUAGUUGGUGAGGUAAAGGCUCACCAAGGCGACGAUCUGUAGCGGGUCUGAGAGGAUGAUCCGCCACACUGGAACUGAGACACGGUCCAGACUCCUACGGGAGGCAGCAGUGGGGAAUUUUGGACAAUGGGGGCAACCCUGAUCCAGCCAUGCCGCGUGAGUGAAGAAGGCCUCGGUUGUAAG
rnacentral:rRNA from 1 species